GACGGGGGGGGCAAGCGUUGUUCGGAAUUACUGGGCGUAAAGGGUCUGUAGGUGGCUUGCUAAGUCAGACGUGAAAUCCCUCAGCUUAACUGGGGAACUGCGUCUGAGACUGGCGAGCUUGAGUGCAGGAGAGGAACGCGGAAUUCCAGGUGUAGCGGUGAAAUGCGUAGAUAUCUGGAGGAACACCGGUGGCGAAGGCGGCGUUCUGGACUGCAACUGACACUGAGAGACGAAAGCCAGGGGAGCAAACGGG
rnacentral:rRNA from 1 species